AUUGAACGCUGGCGACAGGCCUAACACAUGCAAGUCGAGCGGAGCGGCGGACGGGUGAGUAAUGCCUAGGAAUCUGUCUGGCAGUGGCGGAGAACGACCGCAAACGGGCCCCAAUACCGCAUCCUAUCAGAUGCACCUAGGUCGGAUUAGCUCGUUGGGGGGGUAAAGGCCUACCAAGGCGACGAUCCGUAACUGGUCUGAGAGGAUGAUCAGUCACACUGGAACUGAGACACGGUCCAGACUCCUACGGGAGGCAGCAGUGGGGAAUAUUGGACAAUGGGCGAAAGCCUGAUCCAGCCAUGCCGCGUGUGUGAAGAAGGUCUUCGGAUUGUAAAGCACUUUAAGUUGGGAGGCGUUACCAACAGAAUAAGCACCGGCUAACUUCGUGCCAGCAGCCGCGGUAAUAC
rnacentral:rRNA from 1 species